GACGAACGCUGGCGGCGUGCCUAAUACAUGCAAGUCGAACGCAGUGGGGACGGGUGAGUAACACGUGGGUAACCUCCCAUCAGAGGGGAUAACACUUGGAAACAGGUGCUAAACCGGUAUUGAUGGAUGGACCCGCGGUGCAUUAGCUAGUUGGUGAGGUAACGGCUCACCAGGGCCACGAUGCAGAGCGGGCCUGGGAGGGUGAUCAGCCACACUGGAACUGAGACACGGCCCAGACUCCUACGAGAGGCAGCAGUAGGGAAUCUUCGGCAAUGGACGAAAGGCUGACCGAGCAACGCCGCGUGAGUGAAGAAGGUGUUCGGAUCGUAAAACUCUGUUGUUAGAGAAGCGGUAUCUAACCAGAAAGCCACGGCUAACUACGUGCCAGCAGCCGCGGUAAUUC
rnacentral:rRNA from 1 species